rnacentral:rRNA from 1 species
CGAUGAUCAGGAGCUUGCUUCUGUGAUUAGUGGCGAACGGGUGAGUAACACGUGAGUAACCUGCCCCUGACUCUGGGAUAAGCGUUGGAAACGACGUCUAAUACUGGAUAUGACUACCGGUCGCAUGGCCUGGUGGUGGAAAGAUUUUUUGGUUGGGGAUGGACUCGCGGCCUAUCAGCUUGUUGGUGAGGUAAUGGCUCACCAAGGCGACGACGGGUAGCCGGCCUGAGAGGGUGACCGGCCACACUGGGACUGAGACACGGCCCAGACUCCUACGGGAGGCAGCAGUGGGGAAUAUUGCACAAUGGGCGAAAGCCUGAUGCAGCAACGCCGCGUGAGGGAUGACGGCCUUCGGGUUGUAAACCUCUUUUAGUAGGGAAGAAGCGAAAGUGACGGUACCUGCAGAAAAAGCACCGGCUAACUACGUGCC